ACCAACUUUUACAGCUGCUUUAUUAAAGUUAUAAAUAAUUUUAUAUUUCAGUUUAUUGAUUUGAAAAGAUAUUGGAUUUUGUGAACUUGGAUUUUUUUUCUACAAGAAAACUUCCUUAUCAAAAUGAUGUGUGUGACCUGAAAUGGAGUCUCUCAGUUGUGAGGGAAGACUGAAUCGGCUGGGUUUGUUUGCCUCAGGGCAGUCGAUGUUUGGAGGAGUGGGAGGGGGUGCUGAUUGAGGUAUACAAAAUUGAGGGUAUAGAUAGGAUAGGGUAGAUAUGAUAAACUGCUCACCUUGACAGAGGUAUUGAUAACUAGAAGGAAAGACAGUAGAAGACAGAGGUGUUGAGGAAGAUUUUUUUUUUAAACCAGAAUGUGGUUGAACCUGAAACAUUGCCUGAGUGAGAGCUGGAGAGAGGUACUGUCAUGAUAUUCAAGUAUUCAGGUAACAUUGGCACGGAUCAAGAGAAAUCAAUGCUUGAUGGCUUGAUUUAUUUUUUUUUAAUUUAAAGAUACAGUGUGAAAUAGGUCCCUUUGGCCCUUCAGCUAUGACGCCCAGCAACUCCCAACACCCCGAUUUAAGCCUAUCCUAAACGUGGGAUGAUUUACAAUAACCAAUUAACCUUCUAACUGGUACAACUUCAGACUGUGUGGAAGAAAACUUGUAUAUUCCACAAGGAGGAUAUACAGAGGUUCCUUACAGAGGAGGCCAGAAUUGAACUCCAAACUCUGACACCCCAAGCUGUUAUAGUGCCACACUAACUGCUACGCUACCAUAACAUAAUGUAUGGCUGUUAUUUCUGGAAUUUUUUGCCUGGUCCUAUUUCCAGCGCACAUUGAUACUGCUUUUAUCACUAUUUGAAAGAUUAGCUCUAUUUGUCAUAUGUACAUUGAAACGUACAGUGAAACAAGGCAGCGAUGUGCUGGGGGAGGCCGAUAUGGCAUGCCCACAACGUACCGUAUAUUCUUUGGAAUGUGAGAAGAAACUGGAGCACCCGGAGGAAACCCAAGUGGUCACAGGGAGAAUAUACCAACUCCUUACAGAAAGUGGAGGAAAUUGAACCCAGGUCUUACAGCUGGUGUGUUGUAAAGCAUUGUUGUAGCUCCUACGCUAUCUGUCAUGCCUUCUGUAGCCAUACCAAUGGAGCCUGUAAUUAAUUUUUGAUCAGGCAAUCUUUGAAGAGAAAACAUCAUUUACAGAUGCUGCUUGUCCUGAGAAUAGCUAACCAUGUUGGUCUUUUUAGACUUCCAGUACCUACAGUUCUUCGCUUUUCGAUCAGCGUUUGCUUUAGUUAUUCUUUAAAACGUGUUGCUCUUUCUUGGAGCAUUUAGGGUGAGAAUGCCAGAAAUAAAAGAUGAUCUGUUUGGAGUAGGAUAGAAUAGCCUGAAUUCUCAUCAGUGAGAUGUUCCAGAGAUUAACUUCAAGUUUGCAUGUGCAAUCAGUGGCCACUUUAUUAGGUACCUCCGAAUUAUUUGAGUAACUGUCACCCUCCUGUCAGCUUGAAUCAGUCUGGCCAUUCUCCUCUGACCUCUCUCAUUAACAAGGCAUUUAUCCCCACAGAACCACCACUCACUAGAUGUUUUUUUUGCACCAUUCUCUGUAAACUAUAGAUACUUGUGUGUGAAAAUCCCAGGAGAUCAGCAGCUCCUGAGAUACUCAAACCACCCCAUCUGGCACCGACAGUCUUUCCAUGGUCAAAGUCAUUUAGAUCACAUUUUCCCCCCAUUCUGAUGUUCGGUCUGAACAGCAACUGAACCAACUUGACCAUGCCGGCAUGCUUUUAUGGAAAUGAAUUGCUGUCACAUGAUUGGCUGAUUAGAUAGUUGCAUUAAUGAACAGGUGUACCUAAUAAAAUAGCCACUGAGAGUACAUUGAUAAAUGUGAGGAAGUAGAAUGGAAGCCUAGAGUGGGCUUCAGUACCCCUAUCAUUUUUAAUUUACAGUUAGCUGAGGUAUCUCAGUGCAAAUGCAGUAUUCUGAAAUUUGUUGAAGUUGAACGUAGUGCCCAUCCUCUCUUGACUAAGCCCCUGCCACACACAAUUUCCAAAUGCUUGUCCCUCCAUAAGCUGUAAAAUGUUAAAAGUAAGUUUAUUAUAAAGGUAAAUAUAUGUCACCGUAUAUUACCCUGAGAUUCAUUUUCUUGCAGGCAUUCACAGUAGGUACAAAUAAACAGUAGAUCGAUGAAAAGCUAGGAAAACAAGCAAUGUGCAAAAGAAGAUCAACUAGAUACAACGUGAAUCAGGCCCUUCUGGUCCCUUGAACCCACCUGUCCAGGAACCCACCUGUUUAUCCCUGGCCUAAUCACAGGACAAUUUACAAUGACCUACUGACUGGUACAUCUUUGGACUGUGGGAGGAAACCAGAGCACCUGGAGGGAACACAGGUGCACACAGAAAGAACAUAUAAACUUCCUUACAGGGGACACUGGAGUUGAACCCCGAAAUCCACCAGCCCGAAUUGUAAUACGCUUGACCUAACCAGUAUGCUAUGGUAGCCUCUGUCUCACUUUUACCAGCAUGCUGAUUGUUGACAACAAAACCUUCCUAGUUCUUUGUCCCUUUUGCACAGGAAAUUAUCAGCAGCUGCGAAAUCAGUUCCAUGGCUCAACCUGAAAAAUAGAAAAUGCAACAUCAAGUACUCAACAUG